UACGAAGGGGGCUAGCGUUGUUCGGAAUUACUGGGCGUAAAGCGCAUGCAGGCGGAUCGCUAAGUCGGUGGUGAAAGCCCGAGGCUCAACCUCAGAACUGCCUCCGAUACUGGCGACCUCGAGUGCGUGAGAGGUGAGUGGAACUCCGAGUGUAGAGGUGAAAUUCGUAGAUAUUCGGAAGAACACCAGUGGCGAAGGCGGCUCACUGGCCCGGUACUGACGCUGAGAUGCGAAAGCGUGGGUAGCAAACAGG
rnacentral:misc_RNA from 1 species